GGACUACAAGGGUAUCUAAUCCCGUUCGCUACCCUAGCUUUCGUGCCUCAGCGUCAGAAAAGACCCAGUGAGCCGCCUUCGCCACCGGUGUUCCUUAGGAUAUCAACGCAUUUCACCGCUCCACCCUAAGUUCCGCUCACCUCUGUCUUCCUCAAGCACGGUAGUUUUGGGUGCUGUUCCUCAGUUAAGCUGAGGUAUUUCACAUCCAACUUUCCGCACAGCCUACGCACCCUUUAAGCCCAGUAAUUCCGAAUAACGUUCGUACGGUUCGUCUUACCGCGGCUGCUGGCAC
rnacentral:rRNA from 3 species